GCCCGGGUGGCGAAAUCGGUAGACGCAGGGGACUCAAAAUCCCCCGCCGCAAGGCAUGCCGGUUCGAUUCCGGCCCCGGGCACCA
rnacentral:tRNA from 1 species